rnacentral:rRNA from 1 species
GUCGAACGAAGCACUUUAUUUGAUUUCCUUCGGGACUGAUUAUUUUGUGACUGAGUGGCGGACGGGUGAGUAACGCGUGGGUAACCUGCCUUGUACAGGGGGAUAACAGUUGGAAACGGCUGCUAAUACCGCAUAAGCGCACAGCAUCGCAUGAUGCAGUGUGAAAAACUCCGGUGGUAUAAGAUGGACCCGCGUUGGAUUAGCUAGUUGGUGAGGUAACGGCCCACCAAGGCGACGAUCCAUAGCCGACCUGAGAGGGUGACCGGCCACAUUGGGACUGAGACACGGCCCAAACUCCUACGGGAGGCAGCAGUGGGGAAUAUUGCACAAUGGGCGAAAGCCUGAUGCAGCGACGCCGCGUGAGCGAAGAAGUAUUUCGGUAUGUAAAGCUCUAUCAGCAGGGAAGAUAAUGACGGUACCUGACUAAGAAGCAC